rnacentral:rRNA from 1 species
GUGGGGAAUAUUGGACAAUGGGCGAAAGCCUGAUCCAGCCAUGCCGCGUGUGUGAAGAAGGUCUUCGGAUUGUAAAGCACUUUAAGUUGGGAGGAAGGGCAGUAAGUUAAUACCUUGCUGUUUUGACGUUACCGACAGAAUAAGCACCGGCUAACUUCGUGCCAGCAGCCGCGGUAAUACGAAGGGUGCAAGCGUUAAGCGGCAUUACUGGGCGUAAAGCGCGCGUAGGUGGUUUUGUAAGUUGGAGGUGAAAUCCCCGGGCUCAACCUGGGAACUGCCUCCAAAACUGCAUGACUAGAGUACGGUAGAGGGUAGUGGAAUGUCCUGUGUAGCGGUGAAAUGCGUAGAUAUAGGAAGGAACACCAGUGGCGAAGGCGACUACCUGGACUGAUACUGACACUGAGGUGCGAAAGCGUGGGGGGCAAACAGGAUUAGAAACCCUGGUAGUCC